rnacentral:rRNA from 1 species
AACGAACGCUGGCGGCAUGCCUAACACAUGCAAGUCGAACGAGACCUUCGGGUCUAGUGGCGCCCGGGUGCGUAACGCGUGGGAACCUGCCCUUAGGUUCGGAAUAACUCCCCGACAGGGGUGCUAAUACCGGAUAAUGUCUUCGGACCAAAGAUUUAUCGCCUUUGGAUGGGCCCGCGUUGGAUUAGCUAGUUGGUAGGGUAAAAGCCUACCAAGGCGACGAUCCAUAGCUGGUCUGAGAGGAUGAUCAGCCACACUGGGACUGAGACACGGCCCAGACUCCUACGGGAGGCAGCAGUGGGGAAUAUUGGACAAUGGGCGAAAGCCUGAUCCAGCAAUGCCGCGUGAGUGAUGAAGGCCUUAGGGUUGUAAAGCUCUUUUACCCGGGAUGAUAAUGACAGUACCGGGAGAAUAAGCUCCGGCUAACUCCGUG